GUCGGAGUUGUCUCCCCUGGACAUGCAUUUUCUGCUCUGAAGAUCAGUGAUGAAACGUCCAACGCACGUGUCUUUUACCUGCAUGGGACGGGAGGUUACUGUCAAUAAAGAUGUGAAAAAGGUCAAGGACAGGCUACCUAUAUCUAUAGGUAGGAAUCUUCAUUGUCCAAUAAUGGAAGAUUCCAUCUAGAGUCAUGGGGAUGGCAGGCUCUGUAACCUCUUUAAUGGACACCCAAAGGAACCUGACUUACCUAAGGACGAAGGAUGGACCCAGUCCAGUUCUGGACAGGAACUUUUUUCAGGAACCUCAGCGAGUGCAUGAUCACCUGGUCUUUGAACCUUGAGAUGGGAACCAUGGUCUUGAAGACAGGUGCUCAGAUGGGUGGGGAUCACAGAUGUUCACCUUUCGGACACGGAUCCUUGAAACUACGUAUUCCAUAUCUGAUGAAUACAUUUACACGCUCGUUAAAAUUCCAGGUAGAUCAACGAGGGAUGCUCACAGCUUCCUGUCGCUGACAAUUGUCACAGCAGUCACAAUGAUCCUGACGUACACACGCCUUACCACGGCCGUCCGGGUCAGGGGUUGAGGUCAGACACGUUGAGUGGGCACUUGACCAGCACACAGUCAGAGAAAUGAAUUUAUAUGGUGUUUUGAUAGAUUUAUUUGUGUUUGUUUAGAAUCGGGCUACCUGUCUGUAGUCGACACUUACUGGCCCUUGUAACUGGACAGACCGCAAUGAUGAGUGUGGGAAAUGAAGAAUUAAAAUCUUUAUCUCUUUGAACAUUGAUAAGGUAGAGUAAUUGUCAAAACAUCCUGUGUCACCUACAGGUGUAGAAAUCUAAGUCAGUCAGGCUCUUGGUAUUGAUAGGCUUGCUGACAUAAUGCUAUUGUCAAUUACAGGGUCCAGGAAUGCCCUCGAAUCGCCUCUUAUUUGGCCAUGACGAUACAAUUUCAUUGUGUAUUCGUAAACUUUAUAUCACUGACCAUAUUUACACAUUGGAUGGAGAUGACCAUUAUAAUAUUAAACAAAAGAUAAAUCA